rnacentral:rRNA from 1 species
UUGAACGCUGGCGGCAUGCUUUACACAUGCAAGUCGAGCGGCAGCGGGGGCUUCGGCCCGCCGGCGAGUGGCGAACGGGUGAGUAAUGCAUCGGAACGUACCCAGUCGUUGGGGAUAACUACGCGAAAGCGUAGCUAAUACCGCAUACGCCCUGAGGGGGAAAGCGGGGGACCUUCGGGCCUCGCGCGCUUGGAGCGGCUGAUGUCGGAUUAGCUAGUUGGUGGGGUAAAGGCCUACCAAGGCGACGAUCCGUAGCUGGUAUGAGAGGAUGAUCAGCCACACUGGGACUGAGACACGGCCCAGACUCCUACGGGAGGCAGCAGUGGGGAAUUUUGGACAAUGGGCGCAAGCCUGAUCCAGCCAGGCCGCGUGAGUGAAGAAGGCCUUCGGGUUGUAAAGCUCUGUAAGACGGAAAGAAAUCGGGCGCGUGAAGAGCGGGCCUGGAUGACGGUACUGGCAGAAGAAGCACCGGCUAACUACGU